UGUUAAUUCACUACAUCACACAUAAAAAAGCAGAUCUAGGUCUAAGGUUUACCUAACAAAUUUCUUAAUACACCUUUUUUAUUGAGAUAAAAAUGUAACAUUUAUUUUUUCUCCCCAGGUAGUUGCUUUCUAAAUCCUCUAUGAUUAUAGAAGUAAAACGGAAGGAAGUAGAUAUAGGAAAAGGAAGAGAGAGAGAAAGGAAAGGAGGGAAAGGACCUUUUACUUUGAUUCUUAAAGCCGCAAAUAGAAGCUCAGAGGAAAGAGUCUUCAUGUGUAACAUUUUGUGCCAGGAAGAUAUAGCAGUCAUUCACUGAAACUAGAGAAGCCUUUAUAAUUUUAAGUUUUAUAUGAAGCUUGAAGGAAUUUCAUUUUAGUUUGAAAAUGAUCAAUUUUUUAGUCCCUGGCCAUUGAAGGACCAGGUGUUGAGAUGGUCAAUCAGGACAAUGAGCCAAACUUAAAGUAACAAUCAAGCCUUUAUUCACUGACUGUGGCAUAGCAAUCAAGAGGCAAACAUUGGCACUGGCUCACCAGCAUUUCUUUUUUUCUCUGUGAAACAGCAGCAGGUAAGGGUCAGAUGGAUCAAUGUGAACAAAGAGGUGGUAAGGGGAUGGUGGUUGGGGAGAGUUGUCUUACUGCCCAAGAGAUCUGAAUAAAAGGAUCCUGCCUUUUUUAUGGACCAGUGGUCCAGGGAUGGAGAGGAGGAGUGGAAAAGCACUGAGUUAAAGUGGAGAAAAAUACCUCAGCCAAGGCCCCCAGAGCAGAGAUUUUGAAUGAAGCCACUUAGGCUAGAAUGCAGAUAUGUACAUGAGCAUGGCUGACCUGGGAAAGUGGGAGUGGCUUGAGUCCUUGACUGAAACUCCUUUCAGAAAAUUUCAGUGCAUCAAGACUUGUGUAGGAUGGGCAAUUUCCUUCCAUGAGUCCUACCAGGCAAGACUUUAUGGUUACCUAUAAUUGAGCUGGAAAUAUCACAUGUAGUGAUAUUAGCGUGGAACCACAAUGAACUGAUUGACCAUCAUCCCUCAGCUCUU
rnacentral:lncRNA from 1 species